rnacentral:rRNA from 1 species
GACGAACGCUGGCGGCGUGCCUAAUACAUGCAAGUCGAACGCAAAGUUUAUAUCGUGGCUCGCUACACCAUAGAACGUGAGUUGAGAACGGGUGAGUAACGCGUAGGUAACCUGCCUGGUAGCGGGGGAUAACUAUAGGAAACGAUAGCUAAUACCGCAUAAUAUUGAUUAUUGCAUGAUAAUAGAUUGAAAGAUGCUAUUGAAUCGCUAACAGAUGGACCUGCGUUGUAUUAGCUAGUAGGUGAGGUAACGGCCCACCUACGCGACGGUACAUAGCCGACCUGAGAAGGUGAUCAUCCACACCUGGACUGAGACACGGCCCAGACUCCUACGGGAUGCAGCAGUAGGGAAACUUCGGCAAUAGACGGAAGUCUGGCCGAUCAGCGCCGCGGCGGUGGACUAAGUUUUCGGAUCGUAGAGCUCUGUUGUAGGAGUAGAACUGUAGUGAUCUUUUAAAGUUCACGAUGUUACGGUAUCUUACCAGAAAGGGACGGCUAACUACGUG